rnacentral:rRNA from 1 species
CGGAAUUACUGGGCGUAAAGCGCGUGUAGGCGGUUAAGUAAGUCGGGCGUGAAAUCCCACGGCUCAACCGUGGAAGUGCACUCGAAACUGCAUAGCUAGAGUCCUGGAGAGGAAGGUGGAAUGCUUGGUGUAGAGGUGAAAUUCGUAGAUAUCAAGCAGAACACCGGUGGCGAAGGCGGCCUUCUGGACAGUGACUGACGCUGAGACGCGAAAGCGUGGGGAGCAAACAGG